rnacentral:rRNA from 1 species
UACGGGGGGGGCAAGCGUUGUUCGGAAUUACUGGGCGUAAAGGGCUCGUAGGUGGCCAACUAAGUCAUACGUGAAAUCCCUCGGCUUAACCGGGGAACUGCGUCUGAUACUGGAUGGCUUGAGGUUGGGAGAGGGAUGCGGAAUUCCAGGUGUAGCGGUGAAAUGCGUAGAUAUCUGGAGGAACACCGGUGGCGAAGGCGGGUCUCUGGGCCGAUACUGACGCUGAGGAGCGAAAGCGUGGGGAGCGAACAGG